AGUCCCUCCGAGGCCGGACGCCACUCGCUGCGGUCACUGUGGCAGGAAGACCUUCCCGGCUGCUGGAGCAGGUUGGGCCGCCCAGUCCCCGGGGGAGCACUUCUAUUUAGAAUAAAUAAUUCCUUGGAAGCAAGGGCCAUCACUCCUCAUCUCUAUCUCCUGCUGCUAGCCUGGUGCUGACAUAAAGCAGUGCUCAGCAUAUAUUUGUUCAACAAUGUUGUUGAGGGCUCUCCCCAUGGCUGUCCACCAUUUGAAUGAAUCCAGAACACCUCAGCACCAAGUUCAGGCUUCCAUCUUGCAGCAAGGUUCUGCAACUUGUGUUGGAAUUCUCAGGAAAAACUGCCAGAAGCAGUACGACUAAAACCAGGCAGAUGGAGCACAGAAAGGAAGGCACUGCUCACAGCGAAAACCACAUGAUCAAAGUCAGAGGUGCUGGCAUAAUGACGAUGAUGAGGAUGGUGGUGGUUGUGAUGAUGAGGAUAGUUAACAUUUAUUGAGAGUCUACUAUGUACCAAGAACUGUUUAACUUUUAUAAUGUAUUAGUUAAUUCCUGACAAGAAGUCUAUGAAUAAGGUAUUAUCUUCAUCUUACAGAUGGGGAAACUAAGACAGGAAUAAGUUGCCCAACAUCAUAUAACUAUGAAGAAAUACAAAUACAUGAGACCAAAAGAAUAUAUAUAGUGCCUUGAUACAGAGACUUGAUCUGACAAAAAAAAAAUAGGUUUACUCUUGCACUUUUUCUGACCUCCCCUCUUCUUCCUAUCUACCAAGUCUUUAAUAAAUAUAUGCCAGAUUUUAUUUUCU
rnacentral:lncRNA from 1 species